GAAUAGUUCAGUUGGCUAGAGUGUGGUGCUGAUAACGCCAAGGUUGCAGGUUUGAUCUCCGUAUGGGACA
rnacentral:tRNA from 1 species